rnacentral:rRNA from 1 species
AGAUUGAACGCUGGCGGCAUGCUUUACACAUGCAAGUCGAACGGCAGCGCGGGGCAACCUGGCGGCGAGUGGCGAACGGGUGAGUAAUAUAUCGGAACGUACCCAGGAGUGGGGGAUAACGUAGCGAAAGUUACGCUAAUACCGCAUACGAUCUAAGGAUGAAAGCAGGGGACCGCAAGGCCUUGUGCUCCUGGAGCGGCCGAUAUCUGAUUAGCUAGUUGGUAGGGUAAAGGCCUACCAAGGCUACGAUCAGUAGCUGGUCUGAGAGGACGACCAGCCACACUGGAACUGAGACACGGUCCAGACUCCGUACGGGAGGCGAGCAGGUGGGUAAUUUUGGACAAGUGGGCGAAAGCCUGAUCCAGCAAUGCCGCGUGAGUGAGUGAAGGCCUUAGGUUAGUAAAGCUUCUUUACCGAG